rnacentral:rRNA from 1 species
GGGGGCCCGCACAAGCGGUGGAGCAUGUGGUUUAACUCGAAGCAACGCGCAGAACCUUACCACCUUUUGACAUGCCCGGACCACCAGAGAGAUCUGGCUUUCCCUUCGGGGACUGGGACACAGGUGCUGCAUGGCUGUCGUCAGCUCGUGUCGUGAGAUGUUGGGUUAAGUCCCGCAACGAGCGCAACCCACGCCAUUAGUUGCCAUCAUUUAGUUGGGCACUCUAAUGGGACCGCCGGUGGUAAGCCGUAGGAAGGUGUGGAUGACGUCAAGUCCUCAUGGCCCUUACAGGGUGGGCUACACGCGUGCUACAAUGGCGACUACAGAGGGUUGCAAGCCAGCGAUGGUGAGCCAAUCCCCAAAAGUCGUCUCAGUUCGGAUUGCACUCUGCAACUCGAGUGCAUGAAGUCGGAAUCGCUAGUAAUCGCGAAUCAGAAUGUCGCGGUGAAUACGUUCCCGGGCCUUGUACACACCGCCCGUCACACCAUGGGAGUGGGUUGUACCAGAAGUAGCUAGUCUAACCUUCGGGAGGACGGUUACCACGGUGUGAUUCAUGACUGGGGUGAA